UGUAUGCCCACGCGUGUGUUUGUGUGAGUGACCUAGGAAGCACUGCUCCGUCAUACUCUUCCCCCAGCGGAUUUCAAUCACUUCCUGCUGUCUACUCUGGUCCACUCUCUACUCGUCCGUUCAUCCGCAGCUCUACUCAAGGCCAGGGAGUGAUUUUUCGGUUUCCUGCAGUUUUUCCAUCUCGGCACUACGAAGCGACGUCGGCUGCUGUUGUGUCAUCUCAGUGUGAGUCUGUGUCGCGUUCGCUUCUUUCAUUCCUCUCAUCCUCGUCCUCACUUUUGGCUCCUUUCUUCGUUUUCCUUUUGAGUUUUCAGUGUCCCACUUUCCACAUGAGUUAACUCAUGUGGCUGUUCAGCUUGCUCGCCGCUCUACCGGUCUCUGUCUCUGUGUUUAGCUCUCUGAUUGGUUGUUUAUCUCCUUGCUAUCAUGGCUAAUAUAAUUUUGAUGCUAAACAGAAACUAAUAGUAUAUCUGCGUACACACAACUGAAAGUAUUAUGGGGAUGUGAACCGGCUCUGCUUCUUAAAAAUAAAUUUCGAUUGAACGUAUUUCAUAAUACAUCAGUGGCUAAUGUCUGCGGUCUCCUUUCAGUUGUGUUAAACUUAAAGUGACCUUUUGUGAUAAAUAUCAUUAAAAAAAUCCAGAACAAUUACAAAGUUUAUAGUCAACCUUGGUAUUCAACCUUCGUAUUCAAGGUUGAUUAUAAAUAAAUGCACAAACAAAUCUGUAUAAAAAAGAGAGCGAGACACACACACACACACACACACACACACACACACACACACAAGGGAUCCUCCUCUAUCCUUUAUCCUCGUUUCUGUUUGACUUUCUUGGAAACGAGAGGAGACGAGGAAUGAGGAAGUUAGUUGGAAAGACUAUCAUCCUUUUUUCCAUUUAGUUGAUAUCAUGAUGUGUCUUGUUAAAUACAAAUCUUAAUCUUUUCAUACACUGACAUGUCUGAUUUAAUCAACUAUCAGAAAGUUCCCAUUUGUAGGAUCAGGCACUUUUAAAUGAUUGUUUAAAUCUAAUCAUCUAAUCCAGAUUUUUCAAUCAAUCAACUGUUGCAUCCACAUUUAACACAUGUGAAGUCUGAAUGCAGACAGGAAUUCAAAUGGUAAAAGUACAUUUCAGUGCAAUCUGCCCUGAAGAUUUUGAAAGUGGAAUUAGCGGAUGUAGAAGAAAAGGUUGUUUGAACAUUGCAAGUGUGCAUGUCAUAAUUCUGCACAAGGUGUAAAACGUUCCCCCCUACACCUCCCUCAGGAAGUUACUGUAGGAGUCGCAUCUCAACGGUAUUAGUAACUUUUGAAAAAUCGACAAUCAGCAGAGCACAACCAUUUGACGCAGUGAUUGGCCUGGUGUACAAAGGUUUCAUUGACACACUGACUUUCUUCAGUGUUAGUAAGUACGCACACCAAGAAACUUUGAGCAAAAAUUCAAUUAUCUUCUUCUGACUGGCCAUUUCUUUUGAUCAACAAUAAACGUGGUAUAGAUUCAGAUUUGUUCAUCCGACAAUUAUUCUUUUCAAUUCUGCCACAACCUGUCUUAUCGGCUGACACCAUGUUGUCAUGAACCAAGACCCAAGUCUCAGGGGAAAGCCGAUUUGACACAUUUAGGAUUAAUGGAGAAAAUCUUCAUUCUCUCCUUAUUCUUUCAUUCCCACACAGUGACAUCUUAUUUCUCACUGAAGAAGAUGCAUCUAUUCUCCCUUCAUGGAUGAAUUAUUGUACUUUUCAUACAUUGUACAUCUUCCUUUUUUUUUUUUACCCUUUUGACAAUAUCCCUUGAAAAACAUCAUUACAUGGACAUUAUGUGACCUUAACCGUCUUUUCUACAUUUGAAACAAAUUCAUAUCUAAAAACCUACAGUGCAGAAGAGUUGUUUGUUCUCCUUAGUAAUAAACCUCCUUACUGGAAACCAUGUGACUUCUGGAAAAGUCCUUGUUUGACUUGAAUGGGGAGUUUGAUAGGUGGGUCUGACAACAGAGGGAAGGAUCUCAGUUAUUAAUAAAUUAUUCUUAUUGUCUGUUAAAAGUACAGCUUAAGUUAUUCAAUAUUCAUCAAUACAAACUUUUAGAUUUCUUCAAAAUCCUUGUAAACUGCUGCCCAGACAGUAAAACCUUUGCAUGAAUUAAACAUAUCGGAUAGUUGGAAUGUUUAAAUGACAAUAUGUUCCUUCCAUGUGCAGAUCAGAAUUUCUGCUGUAUUAUGGAGAAGAAAAACAUAAAGGGAUUUAGAAGUCGAUCAGAGUUGAGUGAAAUAGUGCUUAGGUUACCGUGUGCAACCAAAACCACGAGAUCCGGCUGAGCGAGAACAGGGCGAGAGUUUCCUAACACCGCGGCGAGUCCUGACACGAUGCUGGUUGUGACACCGAGCCUGGGAUGGGAUCACGGAACAGGGAGUGAUGAGUUUAAACCUAGAAAAACGGGAUUCCACUCUCACUCCCUGCUCACGGAGCAACAUACCUCCCGAGAGUUUCCCACGAGAAAAACCUCAGGCGUUUUUCGGUCCAGGAAAAAAAAAAAGAACGGCACAGGUGAGGGAGACGGGGAGAUGGAUAUAUAGAUAGAUACUGUGUGGAGCGCCAUGGGAACACUAGGGGCAUGUUUCGAUGAAUUGCAGGUGGGUAGGGUGGGUGUUUGGCAGCCUUACAUCUAGAGACUGAUAGUCAGAGGGAUUAAGAUUGGGAUUCAUGAGAAAAAAGGCCAGAUAGGCAUCGGCUGGCCACCUCUUUCCAUAACUGUCUACUGAGUGUGUUCAGCUUGGAGACAGGACCUUAAUGCCAAGAAAACAACUGACUCAGCACGAAAGCAUAAUGCACCCUCGCUUUAUGUGGACACGCAUAUUUGUACAAAAUGCCAAGGUGUGGUUCGCCGGCUGAAUCUCAUGUGACCCACUAAAGUACAUGGACUUGCCAGACAAGUGAUUUUCUUUUUUCUUUUUCUCAUCUCCCUGUCUUCCUACCAACGCCUCCAUCCAUCCAUGCCUGUCUGCGGGGAUAAAGUCAUAGCUGCCAAACCUGUUCUUUGUCACCAUUUAUCAGCUGGAUCUGAAGGGAUGUAUUUCCUCCAUCGCCUCUUCCUCCUCUUUUGAGGAACGCACAGUGGAGUCAUGAGCUGAGUGGGAGCACAACUAGUUGAUAAGAUCUUUAAUCCCUGUGAGUACUAUAAUUCAUGUGCACCCUUCAAGGGGUUGAGCUGAUGAAACGCAUACAUGCACAGCCGACAUGUCCUACAACGAGGUUCCUAACUGUGACUAACCCUGACCUUUGACCUCUUUCUGGAGGGUACAACUAAAACAAAAACCCUGGAGUAGGAAUCGAGUGAAACUAUGUGUAAGAGAUGCACAAAACUACUCCUGAUGUGUGAUUAACUCUCAGGGGUCACAGAUUAGGCCUUUGUGAACAAAUGACUGGUUCAGGACAUCAGAAAUGGGUUUGAUUAUACCUGCUUCGUUAUUUUGAAUAGUAAAUAGUUUACUUAAUCAGUUUUACAAUUAUAUUUUCCAAUUUAAAACGUUCAUAAAACUUUAACUUUCAAAAUGUUUUGUUGUUUUUACAAAGAAAAAAGCCACAUAAUCUAAAAAAAAUUGAUAUUAGGUUUUUGGGUGCAAUGUGUUGAUACACUUCAUCAAAGUGAAAAAAAUAAUUGUUUGUCAUAUAGUCAACGUUGUGCUGAAAAAUAAGAUAACAAUCCAAAUGACCCCCAGGAUAAACAAUGUUAAUAAAUUUGAGGAUAACUGGAGGGUUAAGAUAUAAAAAGUUUUUCAUAAAAAGUGCCCCUAGGACUGAUAGUGAUGUGUGAAUAUUUAAGAAGUAUCUCCCAACAUAAGGGUCAGGGUUCACAUGCUGUCUAAAUUCAUGUGGUGGCAUGUAGUGGAGUAGAGUAUUGUACAAAAGCAAGUACACUGCAUGAAAACAUUACUGAAACAUCAUUUGAGUAAAGUUACUUAGUUAUUGUCAUAACAUUCAUCCUAAUCAUAAUGGAAACAUUAAGAUCAGUCACAUUUAGAAUGAUUUCUAAGUAUCAUGUCAAUGUGUCUCUGGGCCAAAAAGAAAUUUUCCAUCUUCAGCAGUGACUCACCCUUUGCAUCUUAUUUGCAUAGUUUUGCAUUCUGCUUCAUUUGCUUGCCAACUUAUCCAUUAAGUUUUAUGUUUGUAAAAUUAUUGAACCCUUCUUUAAAGUGUGCCUGGAGGUUUAUCUUAUGAUAAGUUAAAUCCCAAACUCAGAUUUGUAUCUCCAGGUUCUCAGACUGACAGGUUGUGGUAAAGUCCCCCUCAUGGGUACACUGUGGACCUGAGGCUCACAGUGAAGGAUCUGCUGUUUUUGCUGCUUCAUCUCUUGUGCAAACACAAGCAAAAGAGUCAUUUAGGUGUUUGCACAGCUACAUCCUGUUCCAAAGAACCCCCCCCCCCCCCCCCCACACACACACACAUACACACCAGACACAUAUUCAUGGAUCCAUACCACAGCAUACUGUAAGACAAAACCCUAAAUUUGCAUAUAGUGUUUCUCUUAAGUAACAGUGGCCAUAUCAAUACUGUUGCGAGUUCCAGCUUAUGAAGUUAUUCUUUUUUAUACUUUGCAGCUGAUUUAAAAGCAGCAGCAAUUUUCUGCAAUAACUCAAAUUAACCUCUCCCUAACCCACUGCCUUUCACCAGACACAAGCCAGUUUACAGAUAUCUUUCUGACAAUAUAUACACAGCAUGUGGUUUUUGAUAAAAUACUUAACUAGAAUGGCACUCCAUAGAGGUCAUACCUCUGCCAAGACACAAUAGUCCCGUUAUAAAACCACGUUUGCAUUCUCUAGAUCCAGAAUUUUGUUUGGAUCUCCACCAAUGGAACAUCCUCAUAAAUAUCAUUAGACAUUUCUAAAUUAUUGCAUGAGUAGACCACACCUUUGUUCAAACUCCUGACUUCAUUUUGAUCUCAGCUUCACACCUGUAAAGUUUUAUUACUAUAUCUUGCACGACUAUAACUUCAUCUCUGUAACUAAAUCUGUUGACAGACAAACAGACAUGUGCACGUGCCAAUGUACUUUAAACCCUCCUUUGUAGCAGCUACAGCUACAGUCAGUGUCUCCAGGACCACAUUUGGCCAUGAUGAGUCACAAGUUGAAAGCAGUACCAGCCUGACUGUUUUGGCUGUACAUUUUCACACCUAAUUUCAACCCUGAGAGAAAAAAGAAAUCAUUCUUCAUCACAGCUGUUUUCCAGCAGUGACACCACUCCCUAAAAAAACAUUUGCCAAACAUCACAUGAGCGCUGUGGCUUUUUCUGGAAUCGGUAUUGUCGUGUCUGGAUGAAGUCAUAACAAACAAUUAUACAGCAGAUAGCAAUGUCUGAAGGACAAAAUGCCAUUUCUUUUACUGUUGUGUGAUUUUUUUUAUGUCUAAGGGUGUUUGACUGUGAAGCAGCUGCAGCACGUAAUGAGUUAUCUGCUGAGGUCUUUAUCUGACUUAAGUUUAUAAUGAAUCCAAGUUUGGGGUUACCUUUUUAUUUUCAUCACAACUACUCCCAGCACUUGAAUAGGGACCAGAUUUUAAGCUAAAAGCUCAACUGAAAUACAGCAGGAGAAGCAGAUCAGAAAGUCUGCUGCAUGUUAGACGAACAAUAACAAAUGUGCAAAAUACAUUUCCAACAAACAAUAAUUCCUAUGAGAUGAAAGAAAUGAGCCAGGAAAAUGCCAUAAGAAAGAGGAAACCUCCAAAAUAGGAUUGAGUUAUGUACAAUAAUUUAGUUUUUAUGCUAACAUGGAACAUGGAUUUAGGAUCUUUUGUCACAGCAAACAACAAUAAUUCGCUCAUGACACAACCAUAUCAUGUUUCUGAUGAAGUGUUACACGGCUCUAAGUGCUGCCUGACCGGUUCAGCAUCUGUGUGUACUGUGUCAUCACGGGCCGACGGCUGCCUGUUCAAACUUGUCCACGAUUCAGAGAAAAGACAAGGUCCUGUCAAAUGUGCAUGUUCAUGUGUAUAACUCCAAAGAGACGAAGAGGAGGUACUCAUCCAUCUUAAUGAGAACUUACUCAUAUUACUUUCUUUCGGUUUUCUGAUGUUUGUCCUUCAUGUUUUUCUGUUUUAACCCACAGGCCUCCCUCCUUUGGUACCUGUUCGUCCUGCAGGACGGGUGAUCAUCUUGGCACCGACCGUAGGCCCUAAACACAUCUCAAACACACACACACACACACACACACACACACACACACACACACACACACACACACACACACACACACACACUAUACUUACUGAGGUGUGUAGAGUGGAGUGUCAGAUAGGGCCCCCCUGUGACACAUAUACACACUUUUUUCACUCUCCUUCCAAAUGCCCUAUGCAACAUCCCCACACACUUUUUGUAUGUGCCCUCAAUGUGUGUGUGUUAUCAAGGCCCUGUGUUUCCUGUUUUGCAAUCCUCACCAUGUCCUUCCAGAAAACGUCUGCCUCUAGCUGCUUCAGGAACAGAGUGUUUUUCUGCCCCCCUCAGAGGGGACAUUUAGCACUAUGAUACAUGAACUGUAUUUAUGCAGCUUCCUUAAACGUCCAUCUUUUAACAAAAGGUUUCAUAUGAUAACGUUUUAAUAAAAUGCUUCGAGGCCACAAUACAUUUUCUCUGGUGACAGACCGGUAUUAUCAUCCAAAUCAGUUUGUUUUAUCAAGAAUAGUUAGGCUUCAAUAAAAACAAAUUUGAAGGUAAUGUGCUAAAAAUGACAUGACUCUGCAUAAAUGUCUCCAGUUUACAAUAACCUCAUCACGAAAUGAGAAUGCCCUUUAGAGGAAGAGGUCUCAAUUGUGGACUUGACGUUGGAGGAGAAGCGAGCAUUUUUCUUUUUAUUGCUGUAAAGAAUGGGGAGGAAAGUAGUUUCAUACACUGGCAGGUGAGAAACUGUAACGUCCCAGAUGAUAAAAUUGCCAGGCACUGUGUUAUCUACCUGGAAGCACCUGUGCAUGACAAUGAGCGCAUGUGUGUUUGCAUAUGAAAAACUCCUCCGUGCCCUAAAGGUAUCUGUCCAGAAGGCUGUGGAUCAGAACUUUAUAACUCACAUGACUAACGCAUCAAACAAUAACACUUGUGACAACUGAGUCAGAUCAAAUACCUCUACGCGGGGCCCACUGUUGGAUGUAGCGGGGGGGGGGGGUCCUGUCCAUGUUUAUUGGAGCCAUUUUGUGUAUUACAAUGAGUAGUCAAUUUAUCUAAGGCGACGCACGUUGAGGUGGUUUCCCCUGGAGGCAGGUGGGCGCCUGUUUGCAUAUGUGUGUGAGACUGACUCAUGAGUUCCCCAGAGGUAAGUAGUUUACAACUCUCACUUAUCAAUAGUCCACAUUUAUGAAUGACUAAAUGACUAUGUAACACACAGAAUGUCCAUGCAGCUAAACAUCAAGUCAGGGAUUCCCAUUGUAACAACAAAACAUGUACCCUCAUUCGAAUGAAGUAUCAAUUCUAAAUAGGCAUUGCCUUUGUCUUGCAUAAGAGCAGGGACGGGGGGGUUCCAUGUGUGGCCAUGGUGGGGUAGGUUUGAUUGUGGUCAAUUGUGGCCAAGAUAUGUACCUACUGUAGUCAGAUAGUGUGUGUUCGUGUGUUUGUGUGUGUGUGUGUGCGUGUGUGGUUUGUGCUCAGGAUGGGUGUGGCAGGGCAGGGCUUCUUGCUCCUAUCAUACCCACAAAAGACUGGGGCUUCUUUACUGAGAAAUCAAAAGUGAAAGGUCAAAGCAGCAACGUGAUGUCGCAAAAAGAAAGUGCACAGGGUCUGUGGCGUGUACUUUGUCUGAACUUUGCACCUCCUCAGUAUGUGUCAGGAGGUGCAUGUGUGAACGCAAAGGUCCGAGUGAAACACGACUUUCUCUGCCUGGCCUCCUAGUGAAAUGUCUCUGGAAGUCUGGGAAAAGUCAGGGCAGGGGAUUAACCUCCAGCAAGUGGGGGGGGGCUUCAGUGCAGAUGUAGGCUACUCAUGUUUAAGCUACAGUCUAAUUUGGUUAAUUAGCAUCCCCGGGUUCGCCCUCCCUCACUUCAACCCAGCAAGAUUGAGCUCGACCAGAGGAGGGGUGAGGUCGAAACAGGAGCAGAAUGGAACUUCUGCAUUAAAACCGUUUAAAGGUUGUUGUUUUUUCAUUUCUCAUCCCAAUCACGAUUUGGAAAACAACCUAAAUUGCUGUGGAUCAUGUGCCUCAACAACAGGAUGUUGUCCCACACAUUUUGGUCCUCUGCCUGUCGCCAGGAGUUGUGCACGGUUGCCGUGCUGCGCAGUGCUGGGUUUGUUGUUAUGGUGCAGAGGGGAUCCAUCUCUCAGUGAGCAGCUGUCACUCCCUGCACCUCUGCUGUUGUUGUUGUCUUGAAGAGGUACUUUCCCUCCGUCGCACUUCCUCCCACAGGACUAUUUGUUUAUGACAGAUUCUGUGUGUGUGUGUUUGUGUGUACAGUGUGUGUGUGUGUAUACUGUAAAUCUCUAUAUUACAUUUGGCACAUGUAUCUCAUAAGCUUGUACAUUUUCAGAAUAUGAUUUGACUUCUUGUGCUGGACACAAAAUGAAAUGUGUGUCAGUAUACUUUUUGGGACAAAUGCACAUUCAUAGUAAACACGCACCUAAAAUCACAAUCCAAAAAGUACUGUUUGCCAAUUUAGCUCAUUCAAAUAGUGGCAUGCUGAUUGUGUGACGAAUUUGUGCCGCGUGCCUGGUUUUGCAUAACUCCUGCUUCUCUUUUCCUCACACAUGCUCUCGUCUCGCUCCUCGUGGCGUCCGCUGCCCGAGUGUCCACUGCGUGUGCGACAGUGUGGACCAUCCUUCAGGGGUAAACUCAGCUUUUGUAUCUUCCGGAGGACAGAAAAUGAAAGAAACAGUGCGAACACGCAUGCGCUACCUGGACCAUAAGCCUCACCGCUCAUUUGGAUAUCAGCGUCAUGUGGAGCUGCAAUCAGGCUCUGCUUCCCGCUCUCUAACACCGUCUCUUCCACGAGGAAUACUCGGCCACGCCAACCACCACCUCCACCAUCUUUAACCACCAUCAAGCUUUACUGGACUUCUCCUCCUUAAAUUCACGGGACUAAGACUCUGGCAGGAAUUGGGAACCCCCUGCUAACGGCUUUUGUGAUAAAGGAAAGGUAGAGGGCUGCACCCACUCAGCAGAUGGUACGUGGUGAGGCUGACAGUUGUACAUUAUUAACUCGUGCUCUGCAGAAUAAAAGGCUUGAAACAUUUAUUGGAGUGGCAUGUUGAUCUUCUUUUUUCCUUUUAUUUUCAUCGAUGUGCAAAACCCCCUCUGUAUACGCAACAAAAAUCAUUUCUGAGCUUCGUGCUGACUGUAAACAAUGAUUUUCUGUUUAUAAAAGCAACACCGGAAUCAUUAAAGGAUCUUUAGUGUAACUGUGUCCAACAAUAACAAUUUUUUUUUUAUAACAGGAAUAAGUUGGUUAUUAUACCUGAGUGCUCAAAAUGUGACCUCGAAGUUGUGGUAUGGAUUCUCUCUCUCUCUCUCUCUCUCUCUCUCUCUCGCACACGCAUCCAUUUGACACACACAUUUCUUCAUCCAUCUGUUGUCUUUUUUUUCUCUCCUCCUCGACUUUACAAUCCCACAACUUCUUAUCUCACUACACGGCUGUGCUCCUGCCCCCCACCCCCCUGCCCUCACACACUCCACGCACGCACACACACACACACACACACACACACACACACACACACACGUGCACUUGUACACCUCAAACCCCUCUUAUUCUGCUGAUGAGCUAAGAUGCCUCUGCUUGGUCACAUUACCCCAAUGUUGCUUCCAGAUAACUACACUGUGAAGCCUGUGGUUUUCUCUCUAUGUGUGUGUAUGUGUGUGUGUUUGUGUGUUUGUGGGUGUGAGUUCGAGAGAAAGAGAGAGAGAGAACCAAUUUGCUGAUGCUGUUAAUUUACGACCUUAAUAAACGGAUUUGAAUAUAAAA